rnacentral:lncRNA from 1 species
GGGCUUCAGUUCUACUGAGGCACCAUUUUUCUGGAAUGGCUUCUAUUGACUCAGAACCAACAUUCGAAUGAAAAGACUACUAUUUCCAUCAGAAAACAGAGGUUCGAGAGCCAGCCCUGGUUGCCUAGUGGUUAGAGUUGAGCACUUACCGCCUGGGCAGCUGGGGUCCCAUUCCUGGGAUCCACACCACUUGCCUGUCAGUUGCCAGGCUGUGGCGGUGGCUCACAUGGAGGAACUAGAACAACUUACGACUAGGAUAUACAACCAUGCACUGGGGCUUUGGGGAGGAACAAAAAAGGAAAAAAAAUAGGAAGAUUGGCAACAGAUAUUAGCUCAGGGCAAAUCUUUAAAAAAAAAAAGCAGGUAGGAAAACUCCCACUCGGGUGUCAGGAGGCUUGUGUUCUAAUCCUGCCUCUGCUCUUCCCUGGCCUGGCACAAGUCCCCUCCCCUCUUUGAUUCUGGUUCCCUAUCUGUAAAAAGCAAGAAUUAGGCUCUAUGCUCCCCUCUCUCCUAGCCCUGCCAUGCCGUCAUCACUCUAACUCUCUCCUUGGAGAACGGAGGAAGGACAUUGGCUACAAAAAAGCCUUCUCGUCAUGGCUAAGAAAGCUCAGUGCCUAAAAAAUCGACAAGGGAGUGCAAUACAGGGCAGAGCCGAGAAAUGGAAUUUUGCCUUUGAAUUGUCUCGAGUUGGAUGAUUUCUCUCUCUGCCUGCCUUUGAUACACUCUUGUUCACUGCUCUGCUGUGAUGAAACUUUCUGUGUCAUGGGUGGUUCCAGCCCCUUCGAUCCAUUCAGCUGAUGAUAUUUCCUGAUGUUUCAAAGGCCAAGAGUAUGGGAUGAUGGAGUAUGGUAGAUUUACCUUCUCUCUUCUUUCCCCACCCACCUGGCUCUUCAGCCUCCUCUCCUGUGGAAUCCCUAUUUUGCGUUGUUCCUCAAGGUCCUGGGAUGACAGCAAAUCCCAACUCUGGCUACUGCCCAGGAUAUGGGAGCCCCAGCUCCUGGCUUCCUGGAGAAGCUGGAGAACGGAAAGCCUUCUGUGGUCUCUUGGGGACAUCACCCCCCCUGGUGGAACGAAGAGGAACUUUCCCGGCUUCGGAAAAGCUGGGCAG